rnacentral:misc_RNA from 1 species
GCCCCCAUGCAUCUUGAUUCAAUAUCCUUUAGUUAUAUGAUAGUCCAUCUAAAAGAACCUGAAGCUCAAAGAAUUGUCAACUAAUGCCUAUGUUGGCAAACAACUCAGCAUGCAAUUUGAGAUAAUUCCAUUAGUACUCAAAACUCUUACUACUGUCCUAUGGCUCAUAUGCCAUUCACCUUGACACUUAGUUUUCCUCACAUUAAUAGAAUUUCAAAGACACUAAAUCAUUGAGCCUCCAAUGCCAUUUAGUCCACCUCCCUAAGUUGCCCUCAUGUUCAGU